CAGCCGCCGCGGUAAUACGUAGGUGGUAAGCGUUGUCCGGAAUUAUUGGGCGUAAAGGGCUCGCAGGCGGUUUCUUAAGUCUGAUGUGAAAGCCCCCGGCUCAACCGGGGAGGGUCAUUGGAAACUGGGAAACUUGAGUGCAGAAGAGGAGAGUGGAAUUCCACGUGUAGCGGUGAAAUGCGUAGAGAUGUGGAGGAACACCAGUGGCGAAGGCGACUCUCUGGUCUGUAACUGACGCUGAGGAGCGAAAGCGUGGGGAGCGAACAGGAUUAGAUACCCCAGUAGUCCCUGUCUCUUAUAC
rnacentral:rRNA from 1 species